rnacentral:rRNA from 1 species
UACGAAGGGAGCUAGCGUUGUUCGGAAUCACUGGGCGUAAAGCGCACGUAGGCGGAUGUGUCAGUCAGGGGUGAAAUCCCCGGAGCUCAACUUCGGAACUGCCCUUGAUACAGCACGUCUGAGUCCGGAAGAGGUGGGUGGAAUUCCUAGUGUAGAGGUGAAAUUCGUAGAUAUUAGGAAGAACACCGGUGCGAAGGCGGCCCACUGGUC